GCGAAUUGUGGGAGUAUUGGCAAGUUGCCUUCCCUAACAUGAGAUUGGUGGAUAUGUUCGAGUUUGUUGGAUAUGAUAUUGAUGGCGAAGGAUCUGGAUUUAUCCAGUCGUUUGCGCGCCGAGGUUCAUGGCCUCCGGCUUAGGUGGAUGAUUUUGUUUUUCUUUUCGUUUAUCGUAGGUUUUGGUUAUAUUUUUUAUGACAUGAUUUGAUGUGUUUAUGUAGCUGCCA
rnacentral:lncRNA from 1 species